rnacentral:rRNA from 1 species
UGGGGAAUCUUGGACAAUGGGCGCAAGCCUGAUCCAGCGACGCCGCGUGGGUGACGAAGGCCUUCGGGUUGUAAAGCCCUUUUCCUGGGGACGAUGAUGACGGUACCCGGGGAAUAAGCACCGGCUAACUCCGUGCCAGCAGCCGCGGUAAGACGGAGGGUGCUAGCGUUGUUCGGAAUGACUGGGCGUAAAGGGCGCGUAGGCGGCCGACCCAGUCGGGUGUGAAAGCCCGGGGCUCAACCCCGGAACGGCACCCGAUACUGGUUGGCUGGAGACCGAGAGAGGUGAGUGGAAUACCCAGUGUAGAGGUGAAAUUCGUAGAUAUUGGGUGGAACACCGGUGGCGAAAGCGGCUCACUGGCUCGGUUCUGACGCUGAGGCGCGAA